AUUGAACGCUGGCGGCAGGCCUAACACAUGCAAGUCGAGCGAGCGGCGGACGGGUGAGUAAUGUCUGGGAAACUGCCUGAUGGAGGGGGAUAACUACUGGAAACGGUAGCUAAUACCGCAUACCAUCAGAUGUGCCCAGAUGGGAUAAGCUAGUAGGUGGGGUAACGGCUCACCUAGGCGGCGAUCCCUAGCUGGUCUGAGAGGAUGACCAGCCAGACUGGAACUGAGACACGGUCCAAAGUCCUACGGGAGGCCGCAGUGGGUAAUAUUGGACAAUGGGCGCAAGCCUGAUGCAGACAUGCCGCGUGUGUGAAGAGGGCAUUCGGGUUGUAAAGCACUUUCAGCGGGGAGUCGUUACCCGCAGAAGAAGCACCGGCUAACUCCGUGCCAACAGCCGGGGUAAUUC
rnacentral:rRNA from 1 species